rnacentral:rRNA from 1 species
UACGUAGGGUCCGAGCGUUGUCCGGAAUUAUUGGGCGUAAAGAGCUCGUAGGCGGUUUGUCGCGUCUGCUGUGAAAUCCCGAGGCUCAACCUCGGGUCUGCAGUGGGUACGGGCAGACUGGAGUGCGGUAGGGGAGACUGGAAUUCCUGGUGUAGCGGUGAAAUGCGCAGAUAUCAGGAGGAACACCGGUGGCGAAGGCGGGUCUCUGGGCCGAUACUGACGCUGAGGAGCGAAAGCGUGGGGAGCGAACAGG